AAGACACUAGUAAAACUAUUACCCCGUUUUGUCAGGACGGAAUUGUGGGUUAAAACCCCGCGUGUCUUA
rnacentral:tRNA from 1 species